AUUGAACGCUGGCGGCAGGCCUAACACAUGCAAGUCGAACGAGUGGCGGACGGGUGAGUAAUGUAUGGGGAACUGCCUGAUGGAGGGGGAUAACUACUGGAAACGGUAGCUAAUACCGCAUACCAUCGGAUGUACCCAUAUGGGAUUAGCUAGUUGGUGGGGUAACGGCUCACCAAGGCGACGAUCCCUAGCUGGUCUGAGAGGAUGACCAGCCACACGGGAACUGAGACACGGCCCAGACUCCUACGGGAGGCAGCAGUGGGGAAUAUUGCACAAUGGGCGCAAGCCUGAUGCAGCCAUGCCGCGUGUAUGAAGAAGACCUUCGGGUUGUAAAGUACUUUCAGCGGGGAGGCGUUACCCGCAGAAGAAGCACCGGCUAACUCCGUGCCAGCCGCCGCGGUAAUAC
rnacentral:rRNA from 1 species